CUUUGUGAGAUAUUGUUCAUUUUGACUCUACUAAGCCUUUUCCUAGUUAUAGCCUGCAGUCCUAGUUUUGAUUCACCUGCCUGUUUGCCUACCUGUGUGUGACCAUUGCCUGCCUGUGACCACGAUUCCUGCCUUCUGCGAAGGCGAAAUAAACACCUGCCACGCUACUUCCAAAACUUGGUGGAUUUGUUCAGUAGUGUUGUAGGAACCCCCUACCAUAUCAGGAGCGGAAGGUGGAGGCAGUAUGUGGCCAGGAACCAGUCCCACUUCAGAUGCAGCCCCCUGACUAACAGACAGGUUGAUACAGAUGGAGCCCCCUGACUAACAGACAGGUUGAUACAGAUGGAGCCCCCUGACUAACAGACAGGUUGAUACAUAUGGAUUCCCCUGACUAACAGACAGGUUGAUACAGAUGGAGCCCCCUGACUAACAGACAGGUUGAUACAGAUGGAGUCCCCUGACUAACAGACAGGUUGAUACAGAUGGAGCCCCCUGACUAACAGACAGGUUGAUACAUAUGGAUUCCCCUGACUAACAGACAGGUUGAUACAGAUGGAGUCCCCUGACUAAUAGACAGGUUGAUACAGAUGGAGCCCCCUGACUAACAUAACAGACAGGUUGAUACAGAUGGAGACCCUGACUAACAGACAGGUUGAUACAGAUGGAGUCCCCUGACUAACAGACAGGUUGAUACAGAUGGAGCCCUUGACUAACAGACAGGUUGAUACAGAUGGAGCCCCCUGACUAACAGACAGGUUGAUACAGAUGGAGCCCCCUGACUAACAGACAGGUUGAUACAGAUGGAGCCCCCUGACUAACAGACAGGUUGAUACACCAUACAAAGGGAUGACAAAGGGAUGACAACUAACAUGUACCACCAGACAAAAUGCUGAUAAGUACAGUAUCUGUGUCGGCUAUGAAUGACAAGAUGAAAGAUGUGUAAUAUUUGCACAUUGUUAUAUUAGCAGAAAACUGCUUCUACUGUAUUAUGUGAAGGAUGUGAAGUGUUGUGUGAAGGUUCAUUGUACAUGGAACUGUUACACGUUAAAGUUAUGUUUAGAAUAUCUACAUAAGUUCAGCAAUUGCAUUCUUCACAUAUUACUAUGUAGGCUACUGACCAAUUAAAAGCUUCCUCCUGGAAGAAGCUUGGCCAGUACAUAUGAGAAGAGUGCCAUCUUCCUGUAUCUAACAUCUGCCUGUAGCUACUCCACCCCUCCGGCCACCUGACUGCACCUGUCCAUAACCUUUAAUAGAUUACAUAGGUGGAAGAGAAUUCAUCACCCACUGGAGACUUGAAGACAGAACCUCACCCAGAGAGCUGUGUAUGUCAGUGUGGUUAGACAGACAGAACCUCACCCAGAGAGCUGUGCAUGUCAGUGUGGUUAGACAGACAGAACCUCACCCAGAGAGCUGUGCAUGUCAGUCUGUUUAGACAGACAGAACCUCACCCAGAGAACUGUGCAUGUCAGUCUGGUUAGACAGACAGAACCUCACCCAGAGAACUGUGCAUGUCAGUCUGGUUAGACAGACAGAACCUCACCCAGAGAGCUGUGCAUGUCAGUGUGGUUAGACAGACAGAACCUCACCCAGAGAGCUGUGCAUGUCAGUGUGGUUAGACAGGCAGAACCUCACCCAGAGAGCUGUGCAUGUCAGUGUGGUUAGACAGACAGAACCUCACCCAGAGAACUGUGCAUGUUAGUCUGGUUCGACAGACAGAACCUCACCCAGAGACCUGUGCAUGUCAGUGUGGUUAGACAGACAGAACCUCACCCAGAGAACUGUGCAUGUCAGUCUGGUUAGACAGACAGAACCUCACCCAGAGAGCUGUGCAUGUCAGUCUGUUUAGACAGACAGAACCUCACCCAGAGAACUGUGCAUGUCAGUCUGGUUAGACAGACAGAACCUCACCCAGAGAGCUGUGCAUGUCAGUCUGUUUAGACAGACAGAACCUCACCCAGAGAACUGUGCAUGUCAGUCUGGUUAGACAGACAGAACCUCACCCAGAGAACUGUGCAUGUCAGUCUGGUUAGACAGACAGAACCUCACCCAGAGAGCUGUGCAUGUCAGUGUGGUUAGACAGACAGAACCUCACCCAGAGAGUUGUGCAUGUCAGUGUGGUUAGACAGACAGAACCUCACCCAGAGAGCUGUGCAUGUCAGUGUGGUUAGACAGACAGAACCUCACCCAGAGAGUUGUGCAUGUCAGUCUGGUUAGACAGACAGAACCUCACCCAGAGAGCUGUGCAUGUCAGUGUGGUUAGACAGACAGAACCUCACCCAGAGAACUGUGCAUGUCAGUCUGGUUAGACAGCCAAAUCCUUAGAAAUAGAACAGAAUGCCAUACUAGUCCUGGGACAGUUGACGUUGUACCAAAGAUGUUUAUGCUCCAUGUUCUAUCUGUGGUUGUACUCUCACACAACUUUUAUGAAUGCACUAGGUCAAGUGUAGGCAUACUGUCUUUAUAAACAAAUCAAUAUUAUAGCCUAUUUACAACAGAACAUGUUUUGUCUUUGUGACACAAACACACCUGUCUUUUAAUUUUUUUAAAUUUAAUCUUUUAAAUAAAUGUGUCUACGCUCAA